rnacentral:rRNA from 1 species
GACGUAGGGUCCAAGCGUUUGUCCGGAUUUACUGGGCGUAAAGAGCGCGUAGGCGGUCUGUUAAGUGUAGAGUGAAAUCUCCAGGGCUCAACCCGGAAACUGCUCUGCAUACUGGCAGACUUGAGGGAUGCAGAGGUUUGUGGAAUUCCUGGUGUAACGGUGAAAUGUGUUGAUAUCAGGAGGAACACCCAUGGCGAAGGCAGCAAACUGGGCAUCAUCUGACGCUGAG